rnacentral:ncRNA from 1 species
ACGGGGUGCGCUGUUACAGGGCGCUGAGACAAACCCGUGGAACCUGAUCUAGCUCGUACUAGCGAAGGGAUGUCCUUA